CAAGGCCACGAUGCGUAGCCGACCUGAGAGGGUGAUCGGCCACAUUGGAACUGAGACACGGUCCAGACUCCUACGGGAGGCAGCAGUGGGGAAUAUUGCACAAUGGAGGAAACUCUGAUGCAGCAACGCCGCGUGAAUGAUGAAGGCCUUCGGGUCGUAAAGUUCUUUGAUUGGGGACGAUAAUGACGGUACCCAAAAAACAAGCCACGGCUAACUACGUGCCAGCAGCCGCGGUAAUACGUAGGUGGCGAGCGUUGUCCGGAUUUACUGGGCGUAAAGGAUGCGUAGGUGGAAAUUUAAGUGGGAUGUGAAAUCCCCGGGCUCAACCCGGGAACUGCAUUCCAAACUGGAUUUCUUGAGUGCAGGAGAGGAAAGCGGAAUUCCUAGUGUAGCGGUGAAAUGCGUAGAUAUUAGGAGGAACACCAGUGGCGAAGGCGGCUUUCUGGACUGUAACUGACACUGAGGCAUGAAAGCGUGGGUAGCAAACAGGAUUAGAUACCCUGGUAGUCCACGCCGUAAACGAUGGGUACUAGGUGUAGGGGGUAUCAACUCCCCCUGUGCCGUCGUUAACACAAUAAGUACCCCGCCUGGGGAGUACGGUCGCAAGAUUAAAACUCAAAGGAAUUGACGGGGGCCCGCACAAGCAGCGGAGCAUGUGGUUUAAUUCGAGGCAACGCGAAGAACCUUACCUAGACUUGACAUCUCCUGAAUUACCCUUAAUCGGGGAAGCCCUUCGGGGCAGGAAGACAGGUGGUGCAUGGUUGUCGUCAGCUCGUGUCGUGAGAUGUUGGGGUUAAGUCCCGCAACG
rnacentral:rRNA from 1 species